GUGCAGCUCGGGUCCCAGAGCUGUGUUCUCUUGCAGCUUUUGCUUGUAGUUAGUCUCAGAAGGGAGGAGGAUGAGGAGGACUCGCUGGUGCUGAAGCUGUCGUUGGGGAGGAAGGUGGCUUAAACCAAGAGAAGCGUUAAACGGUUGGAGAAGUGAUGUGAGUAAGGAGUAUUAAGAAUAAAGUCCACAUUUCUGUUUAAUUUUCCAUGGCAUAUCACAUUUCCUUUUGUUAAUGUUCUCUUUUAGGCAACAGCCAUCUUUUAGCGAUGGAAAGCCAGCUGAGAAUGAGCCAGAUCACAUUAGUCAGAGCAGAGGAUGGUUAAUAAGGACAGUAGAGAGUCAUCGCGAUUGCAGCUGUGAGCUUCAGAAUAGGCACAAAACACCCUAGAUCCUGGGAUUUAAACCACACCUCUGGUGUUUCUGGUGACCCUUGCAGUUGAUUUGCCUUCUCCACAUCCACCUGUGUGUCUGAGCUGGAAUGCUGUCGGGAUCAACACAUAGCUGGGGCACAGAGGCUGGGAUGAGAUCGAACUCGUAGCUACCGAGACUGUAUUAGAGCAGGGAACAGAGUUCUCCCAGGGCUUCCUGGUGAAAAUGAAGCUGCUAAGAGCAACCUGGCUUGGAUUACGUCUAAAGGGCUUUUCACAAGCUGCUUGUGCAUGCUGCAUCUCCAGAGUACUGAGCCGAACUCUGUCAUCAUCUUAGAGCAGAGGUCGCAGUGAGACCGUGAGCGAGCGGAGCAGGGGACUAGAAGGCAUUGGGAAUAGGAACUGGAAAUGGAGCACCUGAACCCUUUGGAGGCAGGGAAGACAUCUCCCAGGUGAGUACACCUCUGAGUCAGAGGGGAAGAACCAGAAGUGAGAGGAGCAAGGAAACUGUG